rnacentral:rRNA from 1 species
UACGGAGGAUCCAAGCGUUAUCCGGAUUUAUUGGGUUUAAAGGGUGCGUAGGCGGCCUUAUAAGUCAGUGGUGAAAUCUCCCGGCUCAACCGGGAAAUUGCCAUUGAUACUGUAGGGCUUGAAUUAUUGGGAAGUAACUAGAAUAUGUAGUGUAGCGGUGAAAUGCUUAGAUAUUACAUGGAAUACCAAUUGCGAAGGCAGGUUACUACCAAUGGAUUGACGCUGAUGGACGAAAGCGUGGGUAGCGAACAGG